CUCAUUUUCCUCCUUCUCUAUCACCACCAAACCCCAUAACUCCCCAUAACACUUUCCUUUAUCCAUAUACAUAUAUGAACGAACAGAGAAAAUAGUUUCAACAAAUAGUGGUUGACAAUAACUUCAUUUAGAUCUUAGAAAGAUUCUUUUACAGCCUAGCUUUGGUGAGCUUCCUCAAUGGCCAUAACUCCCUCCCCAUAACUCCCAUUUUCACCCUAUCCUUUUCAUCACCAAACCUAAAUUCUAAAC
rnacentral:lncRNA from 1 species